rnacentral:lncRNA from 1 species
UGGUGGCUCACUGUGAGAGAUGGGACCCCUGCUGACAGGGUGACUUGGGAGCUGUUUAAGAUGGUCUUCAAGGGAAAGUAUGUUGGGGCAAGUUAUGAGUUUCCCGGGUUUGGCAGGGUAUUACAGAAGGUUUGUGGAAGGUUAUCCUGUGUUAGCAGCACCUUUGAUAAAAGCUUAUAAGGAAAGGAGCACCGUUUGUUUUGACCGAGAAGCAACAGGAAGCUUUUGAGAGGUUGAAGGAAGUUCUGACUGAGGCACC